rnacentral:rRNA from 1 species
AUUGAACGCUGGCGGAAUGCUUUACACAUGCAAGUCGAACGGCAGCACGGGAGCAAUCCUGGUGGCGAGUGGCGAACGGGUGAGUAAUAUAUCGGAACGUGCCCAGUCGUGGGGGAUAACGCAGCGAAAGCUGUGCUAAUACCGCAUACGAUCUAUGGAUGAAAGCGGGGGAUCGCAAGACCUCGCGCGAUUGGAGCGGCCGAUAUCAGAUUAGGUAGUUGGUGGGGUAAAGGCUCACCAAGCCGACGAUCUGUAGCUGGUCUGAGAGGACGACCAGCCACACUGGAACUGAGACACGGUCCAGACUCCUACGGGAGGCAGCAGUGGGGAAUUUUGGACAAUGGGCGCAAGCCUGAUCCAGCAAUGCCGCGUGCAGGAUGAAGGCCUUCGGGUUGUAAACUGCUUUUGUACGGAGCGAAAAGGCUCUCUCUAAUACAGGGGGCUCAUGACGGUACCGUAAGAAUAAGCACCGGCUAACUACGUGCCAGCCGCCGCAGUAAAAC